UUAAUAGCUUAUUUAGAGCUUGAUAUUGAAGAUAUCACGGAAGUAGUUUACUUUAGAAUAUUUAU
rnacentral:tRNA from 1 species